rnacentral:misc_RNA from 1 species
GCCGACACACCCGCUCCUCACA